GGCUAACAAUUAAGUAGAUUGUGCAUUGUUGCAUGAAUGUAUUAUCUCUUUUCUAUCAGCAAAAGAUGAUCGUGAUUGACUGAGCAGCAUACCUGCAAAUUCUACGUCUAUGUCCCUUGUUUAUCAGAACCCAGCAUAAAAUACGUGAAAACAGAAUAAAUAUUUGAACAAAAUACAACAUGCAUCUGAGUUGAAACACCCUCAUAAAUAAGUCAAGAUUUAAGCGAAUAGAAUUGCAUAAACAUGUGCUUUCGUUCAUUCACAAACACACUGGAAAAAUCCAUAGAAGAAUACUAGAAGAGCAUUUCAAUCACGCUGAACAUCUGCCGGAGAAACUCCAUUAGAAGCCCCUGCAACUUUGCUCUAUAAAAUGGCCAAAUAACAAUUUUAUCACAGAUUCUCUAGAGUUCCUCUCUACCCAAACACUCCAUAUGAUGGCAAAUGAUGCAUAAGUUGAUAAUUCACGUUUAAACAACUACUUAAGGUGAUGAUACAAUCAGAUACCUGUUCGUGUAGAGGCUAGAGCUUCUUUAAACAGAGACAAAAGCACCACUCUACUUCAAGUGAUCUAAGUUUCCCAAUGCUUUGUUUCGAAAGAUUCUCUUCGUCCUCUAGUUCCUUCCCUUCAUCCUCUAGUUCCUUGGUCUGGCCGCUCUAGUGGAUCGUGAAUCUCGUUUUGUAAUUUUGACGGAGCGUGAACAUUUUUUGCUGAACUCCAAGGGUGGAGGAGCAUCUUCUCCAAGAAUUUCCCAAUUCUUGUAUAAGUUACCUGGUGAUUGUGCAAACACAAGUUUAAUAAUCCUAAUCAUCGAUCCAACUUUCUUAAAAGACACUACACCAUUAAGCACAUCAAUGGCAUCUUAUACCUCUGUCAAUGCUCAACUAACAUCUUACCAAUCUAGAGACUGCAAUCUUGCCAACAGUCAUCACCUUUCUCAACUACAGUUUUUAGGUCCGCAGGAAGAACUUUCCCAAACUCAAUAAUCAAAUAAAAUGCUAGGAACAAAAAUGAAAAAAAAA
rnacentral:lncRNA from 1 species